AAAAGCUGUGAGCAAAAAACCUAAGGGAAAAUCCAGCGAUGUUAAGUCUUGGAUGCCAAAUGAAGGACUCCCAUCUGUUUGCCUUGCUCAGUGCUGUAAGCGCCUUGAUUGUGAUUAGGAGAUCCAGGAGCACCAUUUGGCGUCCUAAACCAGUGUCUGAAGGCUAUGAUGGGCUGUACAGUAUAUAAAGAAGUCAAAUCUAGACAAGGUUGAAGUUACAUGCUGGAGCCUUUGGAUAGUCCUGUGAAGGCACUUACUGCUCCUGCCAGUUUGGACCUGAGGAAAGGAUUAGCUGUUCUGCUGAGUGAAUUUUGGUG